rnacentral:rRNA from 1 species
UUAAAUUGAAGAGUUUGAUCAUGGCUCAGAUUGAACGCUGGCGGCAGGCCUAACACAUGCAAGUCGAACGGUAACAGAAAGA